GAUUAGAUUCAAAUCCGACGGUAAGUUCAAGUAUAUAAAUACAUUUGUUUUCAAGUGUUAUCAAAAGAUCAGGGCGCAAUUCAUCUCCGGUGAUAGCAGAUGGACUGAUAUAGUAAGGAAGGUCAGCAUAAAGGUUACAAUGGUUCACAGAUUUAAGUAUGGAUGCUAUGAAGUUAAGCACCGAAUCAUGACGCCACGUGAAACGUCCUUCAUUUAGGUAGGUCUUGCAUCCAGCGACGACGUGAAUUAUUAUAAUAAUAAUAAUAAUAAUAAUAAUAAUAAUGGAAACUUUAUUACUUUCUAUAAUAUUUAUUUACACACUACAAUGAUAAACCUCUCUUUACAGGUAGUUUACCAGUGUCUACUUGAAUUAACACUCUACAUAAUAACAAUAUUAGUAUGACAUUAGUUGUGGGUUAUCCCAUUCUUUGUUACGCUUACAGAAUAAUAUAUAAUACGAGGACCUGAUACAUAUGUUAAUAAUUUUCCGAACAUAGUACUUUCUACAUUGUUCAUCAAACUUUAGAUCCUUCAGCAUUUCGGUGAAAUCUAACGACCGGUGGCUGAAAACUCCUAAUGAGCUAAUCGAUAAAUUUACAAAUUUUACUUUUUCAUAAUUUUUGAGCUGUUCGUUAAUUAGAUCUUGAUAUUUUUGUAUUUUUCGAGUUGCAUUAGUGAGGAGAUUAGAUUCAAAUCCGACGGUAAGUUCAAGUAUAUAAAUACCAGCAUGAGCUCCACCUUUGAAUUUACUAUAUGAGUAAAUUCUUAAACACGUCCGAAUUUAUCAUUAUGAUAAAUUCGCGGCAAAUUUUGAAUUUAUCAUAAUAAUAAAUUCGCGACACGUAACACUAACCCUAGCCCCAAC